rnacentral:rRNA from 1 species
AUGCGGGCACGGAGAGGGACAGUUGUUGCCUGCCCCCGAGGGGGGAGCAAAGAGAGAGUAGAGUGCCAGAGGAGGAGGAGAGGAGAGGGGCGGCGAGUAGGGUGGGGAGGGUUUAAGCGGAGGCGGAGGCGGAGCGGCCGGCGCUGGCUGGUACCGCCGGAGGCGGAGGCGGAGGUGCAGGGAGAAGCCCGGGACGCGGGAGUGGCGGUCCGAGCCCCGCCCCGCCGGCAGGCCCCCCGGUGCGGCCGCGCAGCUGCGCGCGCCGGCGCCGGCGGAGAGCCACCACCGGCACGUCUGCCCGGGCGUCUUCGGCAGCGGCAGCGGGAGCGGGAGCAGGGGCCGCCGCCUGCUCCGGCUCCGCGACGUCUUGGACGAGUUCGCCCUCAUGUUCAUGCCGAAGCAGAGGCUGAAGCUCAGGAAGAGGUAGGGGUUCCCGGAGAGGCUCCGGUGGCAGGCGGCGUAGAGCCUCGAGUUCCGCCUCGGCCGGACCUACGAGCUGAAGGCGGAGCGGCGGAUGGCGGCGAAGGAGUGGUACCGCCUCGGGUGGACCUCGCUGUUGCAGAUGAGCGGGCAGCUGGAGGUCAGGGAGACGAAGAUGAGGCGCGGGUUCUGGUUCGGGUUCGAGUUGUCGGAGCUGCUCCAGCUGGGGCUCGACGAGUUCUGGAAGCUGGCGGAGCCCUAGGGAGAGCCGCUCGUCUUCGCGGAGAGGUUGCAGCGGCAGCUGCGGCAGUAGCUGAGGUGGAGGUAGCGGUGGUGGGUGGCCCUCCGCGAGUACCGGUUCCCGCAGUAUAAAACGAGGUAGAGGCUCCGGUAGGCACUCAUGGGCCUGGAGUAGUUCGCGAUGUAGCCCUCGUAGCACGGCGGGCCACUGUUAAUGAUACGGCGCGAGUUAAGUCGGCACAAGUCACUGCCUAGGAAGACGAUGCACGGGUUCCUAUGCCAGACGGGGUACCUCUAUAGUUGGAUGAAGUCUUAGUUGCUGUUCCUCUGGCCCGUCAAACUCUCCUGAGACUAACACCGACUACUCUCCUCGUGCCAAUCGAUAAAUCUUCCAACAUGUCGAGGUCGUAUACUGAGGUUGGUCGAGGUGCGGCGCCACCACCUCGAACACACGCUUCUUCCCCGGCUCUAAUUCAUGAGGUGGCACGUCUUAACCAUACGACCGCUACUCCUCCCGUUUCCCCCGUAAAUGUUAAAACACUGGUUCUCCCCCGCCACGUUCCCCGCACCGAGCUUUUAGAGUACCUGUGUCCAACUCUGUCCCAGUCGUUAGUGGACCUUCAUGGGUUCACACCUCGAACAACCCCUGCUGUGACAACCUCUCAAGAUGAGGCAUCGUGACUGGUUCCUAAUGGUCGUCCGGCUAUGUCCCUGUUUCUACUAGGUAUUCCCCUUCUUAAGUGCGUCGGCCUAAUAUAGGUUUCCAUAGAGCCGUCCUUUCAGUUCCUUAACGAUGGCACCCGACCAGGUCUACUUAAGUCCACGUCUCUUACGAAUAUUAAGAAGCGUCACACUAAGUAACGACUAACCCCUGUUGCGACGGCGGUUGUGGAUAGGCUGGUAAGUCCACCCAACGUGAUCACCGGCACAACUCGUACUCCGUUCGUGUAGGUUUUAACCGCUCCUAGUCGAUAAGAUGAAAGUCGUUUCUCCCUAACUAGUACUUUUCCGGCAACGUCGGUACUAUCCACCCAAGACAUCUCGGCAGAAACUUGUGGAAGGAAUGCUCAAACGGGUCCUCCACCUACGUGAUUACUUGGACUUCGACCUCCCUAGUCAACCGAUUCAAUAACCAAGUUGUUCAGACGCUUUAUAGUGGGCUAUUAAUAGACUUUAUGGUAUGCUACCAAUAGAUUCCUUCAGGUACACUGGUACAUGUCGUCGUCAUACUCUGACUCUUCUUAUUCAAUGUACUAUUUUCCUGCAAAGUACCGAACAUAUUAGCAGGUGCUGUCGCUUCUCUUGGCGCCGCGAAGAGAAAACAACAGGUAAAAACAAAGACCAAGGAGACGACACAUUUGCUCGAGUACAAGCCUACGGUUAUGUUCUUUAUCUUUGACAGCAGAAGUACAUAAAGUGACACCUAGAACAUAGUUACAUACAUACCCGUUUGAACUAAGACGGUAUAAAACUACCCUCGUUGGAGAAGACCCCACGACUUGUGUACUACAUAAGGUC